rnacentral:rRNA from 1 species
AUAGGGAGGAAAAGAAACCAACUGGGAUUACCUUAGUAACGGCGAGUGAAGCGGUAAAAGCUCAAAUUUGAAAUCUGGUACUUUCAGUGCCCGAGUUGUAAUUUGUAGAAUUUGUCUUUGAUUAGGUCCUUGUCUAUGUUCCUUGGAACAGGACGUCAUAGAGGGUGAGAAUCCCGUUUGGCGAGGAUACCUUUUCUCUGUAAGACUUUUUCGAAGAGUCGAGUUGUUUGGGAAUGCAGCUCAAAGUGGGUGGUAAAUUCCAUCUAAAGCUAAAUAUUGGCGAGAGACCGAUAGCGAACAAGUACAGUGAUGGAAAGAUGAAAAGAACUUUGAAAAGAGAGUGAAAAAGUACGUGAAAUUGUUGAAAGGGAAGGGCAUUUGAUCAGACAUGGUGUUUUUUGCAUGCACUCGCCUCUCGUGGGCUUGGGCCUCUCAAAAAUUUCACUGGGCCAACAUCAAUUCUGGCAGCAGGAUAAAUCAUUAAGAAUGUAGCUACUUCGGUAGUGUUAUAGCUUUUUGGAAUACUGUUAGCCGGGAUUGAGGACUGCGCUUCGGCAAGGAUGUUGGCAUAAUGGUUAAAUGCCGCCCGUA